rnacentral:rRNA from 1 species
AACGAACGCUGGCGGCAUGCCUAAUACAUGCAAGUCGAACGAGAUCUUCGGAUCUAGUGGCGCACGGGUGCGUAACGCGUGGGAAUCUGCCCUUCGGUUCGGAAUAACAGUUAGAAAUGACUGCUAAUACCGGAUGAUGACGUAAGUCCAAAGAUUUAUCGCCGAAGGAUGAGCACGCGUAAGAUUAGCUUGUUGGUUAGGUAAAAGCUCACCAAGGCGACGAUCUUUAGCUGGUCUGAGAGGAUGAUCAGCCACACUGGGACUGAGACACGGCCCAGACUCCUACGGGAGGCAGCAGUAGGGAAUAUUGGACAAUGGGCGAAAGCCUGAUCCAGCAAUGCCGCGUGAGUGAUGAAGGCCUUAGGGUUGUAAAGCUCUUUUACCCGAGAUGAUAAUGACAGUAUCGGGAGAAUAAGCUCCGGCUAACUCCGUGCCAGCAGCCGCAGUAA